rnacentral:rRNA from 1 species
CGAAGGGGGCUAGCGUUGUUCGGAAUUACUGGGCGUAAAGGGUUUGUAGGCGGUUGAGCAAGUCAGAUGUGAAAGCCCAAGGCUUAACCUUGGAAUUGCAUUUGAAACUGUUCAGCUAGAGAAUGUUAGAGGAAAGUGGAAUUCCUAGUGUAGGAGUGAAAUCCGUAGAGAUUAGGAGGAAUAUCGAUGGCGAAGGCAGCUUUCUGGGACAUUUCUGACGCUGAGAAACGAAAGCGUGGGUAGCAAACAGGAUUAGAUACCCUGGUAGUCCACGCCCUAAACGAUGAGUGCUAGACGUCGGAACUUUAGUUUCGGUGUCGCAGCUAACGCGUUAAGCACUCCGCCUGGGGAGUACGGUCGCAAGAUUA